AACGAACGCUGGCGGCAGGCCUAACACAUGCAAGUCGAACGAUACCUGCGGGUCUAGUGGCGCACGGGUGCGUAACGCGUGGGAACCUGCCCUUAGGUGCGGAAUAACUCCCCGAAAGGGGUGCUAAUACCGGAUAAUGUCUUCGGACCAAAGAUUUAUCGCCUUUGGAUGGGCCCGCGUUGGAUUAGCUAGUUGGUAGGGUAAAAGCCUACCAAGGCGACGAUCCAUAGCUGGUCUGAGAGGAUGAUCAGCCACACUGGGACUGAGACACGGCCCAGACUACUACGGGAGGCAGCAGUGGGGAAUAUUGGACAAUGGGGGAAAGCAUGAUGCAGCACUGCCGCGUGAGUGAUGAAGGCGUUAGGGUUGUAAAGCUAUUUUACACGGGAUGAUAAUGACAGUACCGGGAGAAUAAGCUCCGGCUAACUCCGUG
rnacentral:rRNA from 1 species